AAAAUUAUAAUGUGUGUACCAUUGACACCACUUCUAAGUAUUUUCACAGGAGAAAUGAAAAUGAGUUUUCCCACACGGAGGAGAUGAAGCAUUCUCUCCUGAACGUGAAGCCGGCUCUUGGUGUUGCUUCACUGCCUUUUGCCAUUUGAUGAUCAUUCUUCUCUCUUUCAGGAGAGUAGAGGGAGAGGAUGCAGUCUGAGUGGA
rnacentral:snoRNA from 1 species